GUCAACAUUGUCCGAGUGGGUGGGCAUCCGGGGCGGGAGGAACCCUGUGGGGAGGGCGGCAUCCCCACCCCGGGAGGCCGCUUCCUGCGAAAGGCCUGUGGGAACCUUGGGAAGUAAGUAACCCGAAUAAGAGGGCACAGGGGCCUCCACAGGUGUGACCGGUGCUCAGUGGCUCAGGGAGGGUCAAGGAUGCGUCGAUGGCCACCGUGAACGGGGGCUAGGUGGUGGGUUCACAGCUAACAGGACUAUCCUGGCCAGGUGGUCGGGCCGGGCGGCCCUCACUGUGCCUGGGCGACCCGCCUGGACGGCCGCGGACGGGACGUGAGGUGACCGGUGUGCGGCUUCGAAAGGAAAUCGACGCCGGACUCGUGACCUGACCGCAGCUAGCAACGUGCCGUGAGAUGGCCCCGGACUCUAGAGGGGGGCUUACCUCGUCUCCAGCGCUGGCAACGUCAUCAUCACCGCCGUCGGCACAACCUCCGCGUCCUCCAUCGUCACCUUCACCACCACCACAUUAACGUUGUCAAAUGUCUCCCGUUUGGGGGGUAAUGACCGGCUAUUUGCUCCCCCCAGGUACCCUCUUAUCCGAGACAGGAACCCCCGUUCUUUCCACCCCACGCUCUGCCCCAGGGAGCUGCCCAGCGGGUGGGUGACUUUGCCCACCUGACUCCCUCACCCUCUAGCUUCCGGCCGGGACUUUCGGCCAAGCAGGAAGAGUAGAGGACGUCAUACGGAGGAAAGCGUGUGGGGAGGGCUACGUUUUCUCCUUCACCCCCCCCCGUGAGGAGAGGAGCUGCCAUCAGGCCUGAGGCCCUGGCCCUCGCUCGGUAACAAGCAUCCUUCCCAGACCCCUUCGGCCUGGGGGUGGUCAUAGCUGCCGCCCUCACAGGUCCACUGAUUCUGCGGCGGCUCUGGUGGUUUCCCUCAACCCUGGCAGCACCUCCGAAAAUGCUCUUUUCAUGAACAAGCCUCUUUUCUCCCAUAAGCGGGCCAUCUGUUUCCUGCCUAUUCUGAGAGACACCAGCCUCGUGGCGUGCCAGGCGCCUCACAUGUGGUCCCAGCGGCACCUGUACAAAGCCCCCAGCAAAGCAUCUGGCAGCACCUGUGCCUGGGGCAUCUGGGCUGAGUUCAGGGACACGGCCUGCCCCAGGGGGCCCCGGGGGCCUAGGAGACAGGCAGGGCCUCAGCCAGACGGAGCAGAGUCCAAUUCCAGAAGCUGAGGUGGCGAGCAGGUGGGAGGGAGCCUGUUGGAAUCAGGCCUGGGUGCGACGGGGAUUUGCCCACGCCUGGGGGAGAUCCAGAGUGGCCCCUGGAGCCUGCCCCGGCUGCCCCCGGGGUGCUGGGAGGCCCUGCUGGGCGGAGGGUGGGGGUGGUGGCGGGAAAGACAGACCCCUCUCGGUGGGGAUACCGCGCCUCCCGCAACAGCGCUGGGUGGGGAGGUGCCAAGCCGCUCCUCUCUCCUCUGGGCUAAGGCCUCUCUCUCCACUGACUUCCCUUCCUGCCCCUCUUCCCCUUUGCUCCCCCUGCCCCACCCAGGUCUGUGCUCCCUGAGGAGCUCCUGUUUUGCCCUCUCCUGCCACCAGGCCUCUGGCUCUGCCGUCAGCGGUCAUGACCCUCGAAGGAGAGCCAGCCCUGGCACAGGGCCACCAAGCCCAGUCCUCAGCCUCUCCUGUCCCCUGGAGUCUGGAUGGCGGCCUAGAGGGGGCCGUCCAGCCCAGCCCCUCUGGGGGUCUGCAGGAGUGGGACCCGCUCUUUGCACAUGUGGGACUUUGUCAUUUGUCUGGGCCUGGCUCUUUCCCAGAGGGUCCUCAUUCCUGAGCCUCGGGGACGACGGACUUAUCAGAGUCGGGCCUCUGGCUCCUGGAGGAGGUGUGGUCUCAGGAAAGGCUGAAAACUGGCCUCACCAAACAGGUGAGGCCGUGGAGCCCAUGCAGGCAGGAGAGGGGCUGACCCGGGGUCAGGACUCUGUUCCCCUUCCUCUGGGCUCCAGGCCUCUUCCCCGGCCACCAGGCCCUAUUGGUUUCCUUCCAGGUCUGACCCUCGAUGUAAUUGUUACCCUCCCCAAGGCCCCUGCCGCCAAGCCUCCCCUCCCCCUCCUUCCUCUUUCCUUGGUGACGAUAGUGACAGCACUAACCGAGAGCCCCAGCACCUGCUGGCCACCAGACCCGUGUAGCAUUUGGGGGUGGCUCCCUUUCCUUGAGCACACCCCCCACCGUGGAGGUCAUGAAUUAAUGCCCCAGAGGGAGAGGUCCCAAGUACCCGCGACAAAGUCACCAUGUCCCCAGAAUCUCAUGUUUUUACUUAAAGCAAAAUUCAUUCACAUAUGGUUUUCUCCUCGGUACGGAUUGACGCUUUACGAUAAGUGCUCCCAGAAGGCUUUGCUCACCCCGCCCCAGAGCCUCCUGAGCUGAGCUUCCUGCUCUCAGAAGUUGCUGAUGGCUCAAGGCAUCGAUGUCAGGGUGACCGAGUGACAGCGUGUCACCCGGCGGGCAGGCAGGGGAGCCAGACUCCGAGUCUGGUCUUGGCCAGCACAGGGCAGGGUGGGGACCCUGCUGCCCGAACAAAGGCCUGUUUACCAGGGCAGGAGGAUGUCAGCCUCGGGCAAGCCAGGCCCUGCGGGAUCCACCCACAGACUCACAAUGGGCAGCUUGUGUCCUAGCCAUCCGAUCCUCCCGGGGCUACCCUGGGCCUGGCGCCGUGGACAAGGCAAGCGGGGGGUCGGGACGCGCAAGGAGGAACCUCUGUGUCCUUGGCCAGGCCAGAUGCACGUGUGUGCCUGCGGGUCUGCUGAGACAGCAUGGGCAGAAUAGUGGCCCCAAAGCUGUCCACGUCCUGAUUCUGGAAACUGGGAAUGUGUUACCUUCUGUGGCCAAGGAGGGUCUGUAUCAGAGAGAGGCUGGCUGUGAAUGGAGUGGGGGUGCCACAGGCCAAGGGGUGCGGAGACCUCUAGAAGCUGGAAAAGACCAGGAAACUGAUUCUCUCCUGAAGCCUCCAGAAGGAACCAGUGCCACCCGCACCUUGCCUUUAGCUCAGUGAGACCCUGUAGGACCUCGGGCCCAGGAGACUGUACGGGACUAAAUCUGUGUGGGUGAUCUUUGUUACAGCAGUGACAGGAGCCCCGUGCUCAUCCCGCUCCCCACCAUGAGUCACCGGAGGCCGUUACACCUGGCAGAGCCUGGAACUCCCCACCUGAAUCUCAGGGAGAACCCCUUCCACGAGGGGCUGGGGGAUCAGGUGAGAUGGGGCACACAGGGCCCAGCACAGCGGGAUGGUGUCCGUGUGGCCAGGGCCAGCUCCUUCCUCCCCGUGGUGUGCACAGCCCUGUGACACGUGCUGGGGACACCUUCAAGGACAGUCCCCCACCCUCUCUCAAAGGGCAAAGGUCAGCCACUGGACAGAAGCCUGGUCACGGGGUGCGGCAGCCACUGCGGGAGCAGCGACCGGCUCCGUGGAGCUUGACCGAGCGUCCGCGGGCUGAGUGAGGCCAGAGGAGUUUCCGGAGCGAAGGGCGGCAUCUGAGGGAGCUGUGGAGGCCGUGCGACCCUCCCACACAGAGCCGGGUCCCGUGCAGCCGGCCUGCCACUCGCUACUUGGCCGGUGAUUUUGGACAUGCGUGAUGGCUGCGGCAGGCCGGAGCCUGUACUCGGUGGCCCUCACCGCCUGUCCAGCCAACCCCACGGGGCGAGGCUUCUCCUGCUCCUUUCCACCGAAGCAACACGACCCUGCCAACCGGAGCUUCGUAAGGAGCUGUCCCUGGAGACAGGGUCCUGAGCGGGGGGGUAUCUGGGAGUCGUCCCGGAUGAGGCCCGUGGCCGUGGCAGAGCCCCCAUGGACGGGUUUAACCUCCCGCCGGAGUUAAAGGCCCGGUGGGUCUGUCUCUGGCCCGGGAGUUCUCUGGGAAAGUCGUCUCAGAACUCAGCCAGCAGCAGCCAGAAGGCAGAGAACAACUCCCCACAGAGACCGCCCAGGCCCCUCAGCCCCCGGUGUCCCACAGGUACCCCUGAGAACGAGCAGUCACAGAGCAUGCUGGGUGCCCCAGGGGCCACCAGGCGCUCCCCUACACGACAAACUGGUGAGCCCGAGACCGCUGCCCGAGAGGCCCCCCCCGCCCCCGCUCACCAGCAACUAGAAACGUGGCCUUUGGGGAAGGAAGGGCUACCCCUCCCCGAGCCAGAAACUCAGAUACUGUCCGCCUGGGAAUCUGGGGUGUCUGCUCCGGUUUCCCUCUGCUCUCCUGGGGGUGCUUGGGGGCUCCUGUUGCUGAGAUCUGCUCCCCGGACUCUUCAGAGGCCUGGGGAGAGCGUGUGUCCAUCUGUCCCCAGGGACAGCCCUACCUGUCCUGCCAAUGGCACCAAGACCGGGGCGGCAGGCCUCCUUCCCACACCGGGAGGGAGAGAGGACCACAUCCGGGCCCCUCCUGGGUGGCGGGCGUCCCGGUCUGCUCUUUCACCGCCAGCCCGGGCAGCCCCUGCCGAGCCAGGCACCCCCACUGGUUCCAGGGCGUGGGCACCGACCCCAAGGCCUUCCCCACCCACUCCAUUGUAGGGCUGCAAGCUUAGCACGUGUGCAAGUAUUUGUGGCCAGAUGCCUCCCGUCAGCCCUCCCGGGAGGCCUCCACCAUGAGUCACUGGCUCUGGUCUGGGGUCAGGCAGCAGCGGCCUCGCCCGUUCAGACUUUGGAGGCCUCACCCUGGAGAAGUGGGGCACCGACCCAGCUAGCAGCCUAGAGGGGCUUGGGGGGAAGGGCAAUCGGUCCUGCUCCUGGGCCCUGCCCCUGCUCUGAGUCGCCUGGACUGUGACCCUCAGCGUGGCGGACGAGCUCACGGGCUCUCCAUCCUCGGUUCCUGCCCGCUGUAGAUGAGUCACGGUGACAGCGGAUGGUCCCACCAGGCCUCAUGAUGUGUGGUUCUGUCCUGAGUGGCUCAGCUGUCAGUUUCCAUGCCCGGGGUGGCCAGUCCCGUGGCCAGGAAGAGCCAGGGCGGCUGCUGUCCUUUACCAAGGCAGACCUUCGUGAUGUAGAGCUACCCACAGGUCACAGGGCAAGUGGGGGGAGGGCAGCAGGGAGAGGAAAGGACUCUUAGGGUCUGAGGUGCUUGAUGGGGCCAGGACAGCCCCCCCCAUCAUACAUGAGCCCCCAGGAGUUGGGGGGAACAGCCGCCCAGGUUCUUGUCCUGGCCCUGCCCCAACCGAGCUUGCCCUGGGCCAGCCACCAUCCCCUGGCCUCGGUGUCUUGAUCUGGUCCCGAGACACCAGCUUGGGCCAGUUAGGUGAGCUCAUAAUCAGGACAGGGGACUUGUUCCUCCUGCUCACCCGGCCUCGUGGGCUGAACCGUGGCCCCAGGAGAGAUGUCCACCCAGCCCUGUGAAUGUGACCUUCGUGCAACAAGAGUCUUGGCGGGUGUGAUUAGGGUCAAGAUGAGACCAUCCUGGCCGGUGAGGAGGGGACAUAACCCAGCGACAGAAAAAAGCACACACAGACUCACCGGGAAAAGGCGGAGGUCGGAGGGAUGUGUGGGAGCACCGAGGGCUGUCAGCAAGGCCCCGAGGCUGGGAGAGGACCCCCUCCCCGGAACCCUCAGAAGGAACCGGCCCUGCCCACCCAUGAUUUUAGCCUCCCAGUGCGUUGAUCUGUUACGGCUGCCCCAGAAACAGGUACAAGCACAGAGCCCAACACGGGGCUCAAACUCACAAAACCAUGAGAUCAUGACCUGAGUUGAAACCAAGAGUUGGACGCUUAACCGACUGAAAUGCCCAGAUUCUUGGAUUUUCAGAGGAGUGCAGACUGUGACCAGUGCUCCUUGUAAGCAAGGACAAGGCCGCGGGGACCCACGUGAUAAGGAAGACUCGUGUCCUUGUGCUCGGGACCCAGCCCUGCAGUCUGUGUCACAGACAGCGCACGGGGUCUGGCCUCCAGGCAGCCACGGCAUGGCUGGGGGGACAAGAUCUCCCACCUGGGGCCGAGGGCAGCACAGGACAGCAUGCGCUGGAAAAAGUGGUGGCCCUGAGGCCAGUGGGUGAGCUCUGGGUGAACAUGGGUCCUUCCUGGUCUGGUGCUUGGCGGAGAAAGCUUUCUGAGCAGGUAAACUGAGGCACAUGCCCAGGGCGUUGGGCUGAGGAAAAGAGAGUGUGGGCAGGCCAGAGCUGUGGGAAGGGGGAUUCGAGCUGCCGCGGGUGGUCCCUCGUGGGAGGCUUGUGGGGGGGGGCACCUUCCAGGGAGCGCCCUGGAAGGUGACAGGAGGCCACAGGGUUUUAGCUCUGAGGGGGACAUCGGGGGACACCUUUGCAGCAGGCCCUUUGCAAGGAUACAGUGUCGGAUCUGUGAGGUGACUCACACUUUCCUGCCCCAGAGCGGCAGGGGUGGUGAUAAGGACGGGCUGGGAAGGUCACACGGGGGAGGCGCGAGAGGCAGUGGGGUCACAUAGCUCAAUCCGAACCCGGCUCGGGCUGGAGCCUCCACGGGACACCAAAGAGAAGGUAUCGGGAAGCGGACGUUUCCUCCACGAGCUUUAGUCCCUGUGUUUUUCAGGGGGGUCCUCGGGGGAGGCUUUCAUCUCCGUGAAAUUGCAGGUUCGCCGUGGCGGCCGGGGCUCCUGCCAAGUCCCUCAAUUAGCCAGAGGCCUCUGGUGGCUGUGGGGAGCCCGCUGCGGGAGAGAAUGCGUGCUCCCUCCUCCUGGGGCCCGACCCCGGGAUGCUUGCAUCAUGGAAACUGCUUCUAGAAACCCCAUGGCCUGAGCCGCCCCGCUCCUGGGGAGACCGGAAUGCCAGCUCAGCGGGCAGCACCCGGGCGAGCGUGCCUCCUGCCUCUCCCCCGGGACUCCCCUGGCUCCGCAGGGCUGGUGACCAAGAGCUGUGAUGUCACCGUCACCCUAUGAGGCUGCCAGGCGCCCGGCGUGAAGGCUCCUCCUGGCCAGCUCGGCACUGACGCAAAUCAAAAGCUUCCAGCUCUCUGAGCGGUGGCCACCGUCCUCAGCCGGCAGCUCUGUGGUCCAGCACGGGGCUGGCAGGGGGGAGGGUGGCGGGCAGAGGGCUCCAGCGGGCCUGGCAUCUGAGAUAAUCAGCUGCUUUUUAAAGGGCGGCCAGCGUGGCAUGUGGGGCUCCCCGGAGGUCAAGAGGGGCCAGCCCCGCCCCCCCGCAGCCCCUGGCAAGGUCAGCCCCACGCCGCGGGGCCUCAGGCGUCGCCUGCCAGGCCACCUCCUGCCCCACGUCCCCAGCCAGAGGGUGCCUGGGGUCCUUGGGCUCCGGGCAGGGCUAUUUGCCUGGAGUGGUGCUGGCAGCGUGGGAGGAAGUCAGGCCAGAUGGACCCACCCCAGGGCGAAUGGGGGCAGGGGCCGGGGCAGCCUCCGCACGGCAUCCUGCAGGGCUGGGGUGGGACCCCCCCGCCCCCCCGCCCCCCGCGCAUUGGCCUCUGCCUGGAGCCGCGCUGCCCGGCCCUCCUUGGCUUCCCGGGGCGGUUCGUGGACACGGGACACGUGUCCAGGGCUCCUCCCGGGAGUGUGGGGAGCUGGGCUCGGAGGUCACGGGGACCCGGGGUGCCCUUCCAGACGGCUGUGGAUGAGAGCCACCAUGGGACCCUGACUGCCCUGGAAGAGGCCAGCCUGCCGGAAUGUUCUGUUCUUCCUUAAAGACACACGCACGUGAACACGCUCCCACACCCACACGUGCACGCACAAAUGCAGGUGAGUGUGAGCACAUGCGCACACGCUUACACUCACACGUGGGCACACACGCACGGUGGGUGUGGUUGCUUUCCACGUUCGGAUCAGCACUGGCUUCAAUCAACAGGGCACUUGGCGGGAUUUGACCGCUUCUAGCACAGGACGAGGACCCGCUCCUCUCUUCCUGCCCCCCCCCCCCCGACACCGUGCAGUCAGAACCACAGCCCUCUGGCCUGGACUUGAUGGCCACGGAAGAACAGAAUAUCCAGGGGCCACGAGUAGCCACCCGGGAGGGUGACAGUGAGACAGCAGUGGGGGGUCCGGGUGGAAGGACGCGUCAGGAGCUGAGGACAAUGAUGCCAGGGCCUACCUCCCGGCCACGUUUGCCCUCAACUGGCACCCGGGCCAGAAAGUGCAGUCCCGACGCUUUGGACCGGCCACUGGCAAACAACCCCAGGGCGCGGCAGGAAGCAGCCCUGACCCUCACCCUCCUGCUUGCUCCCCUUGGGUCUCCAGCCUCCAGGGGACCCCUCUCGAGGGUCUGCUGCUGACAUCCUGCCAUCCCAGUCUGCCAGACUCCUCUCCACCGGUCUGGAAGACAGGGCCGCUUCCUGACAGGUGUUCCUCUGCCUCCCACAUCCUGGAAGCUUCCCCAGGGCUGAAAAUGCCUGGUGAGUGGCGGGCCAGCCUCAGGUGGACUAUGUGGGGCCUCCACGGCCCAGAGGUUUCCAGCUGGUGUCCCGCUCAGUUGUCUGAUGGCCGGUCGCCCGUGUCCACCUUGGAGCUGAGUUGGGCCGGGAGAUAGCAGAGUGGGAAGCCCAGAGAACAUUCUAGGCGGGCCUGCCAGGGACAGGGAGUGAGCGCCUCUGUCUGGGAGGCCCGUGGGAGGCUAUUGGUCCAACGGCAUUGCCAGAGGACGUGUGUGAAUCCCAACUCCCGAGGCAGACGGCUUCGGAGGUGUGGGCCACCGCCUGCCUCUGACGCGGCUCGUUCUGUUCGCCUCUGCUUCCUGGCCCGCUGCGGGUGGAGUCCCCUGCCAGGAACGAUGGUGCCACCUGGCUCCAUCCUCGACGCUCUGACGUCUGCACUCCGCCGUUUGGGCCAAGAUGGAAACCAAGCGGAAUGUUCCUGACGUGGGAUCUCCUCGUCCCACGGUCCCGUGGCACCUGGGCCACGUCGAGUGGGAAGGAGAGCCGUCCCUCCCCGGGUCAUCCUUCCCCUCUGGGAGCAUCGUCCACUGUUAGUUUUGGGGGAAAGUGGAGUCUGCAGAACUCUCUGGCCCCUUACGACAGACAGGCAGGAGUGUUGAGACAAGGGCUCAGGUGGUCUGAGUCCUAGCGGGGGCUGAGGACCACACACGGAUCCCCCACCACCUCCACGUGGCUCACACCCACCCCAGCCAUCUCCCACCAAAGUACUUCCGGCACCCCGCCCCCCCGCCCCCCCCCCCCCCGGCUCUAUGGCUGGGACCACGGGCCGCCCCCUGCCCCCAGGACCCAGCUGGGAAGUUGGAAAAGUCUGGCCCCACACCAACCGAAACAUGACCCCAGAAGCCCAGGCUCGGCCCCACUGAUUCAUCGGCGGAGCAAACUUCCUGCCCCCACCUGCCCCCACGCGGCUCACGCUCCUGUCAGCCAGAGCUCGGGGAAAAGGGUGAGGCCCUCCUGCUUGCAUGGCGUCCCGGCUCCGACCCCACGAGGCUGGACAUCUGCUAGGCCGAUGACGGAUGUGACCACAGGCGGACGGUGGGCAUCAGGGCCACAGAAGCCCAGGAUCCGGCGGAAGAGGCCUUAAGAUCAGCGGGCCACGGGGCGCCGUGUGGGACGGCAGGGAUCGAACGCAGCGUCAGCUUUUGAAGUCCUGUGUGGAUCUUCCUGCACAUUAGCAAAAAGCGUAGAGCAUCAAAACCUCGACGGAAGGAUGUCAUCUCUUGUGGCCGAGACUGGUGAGGAGGGCCGUUAGCCCCGGGCUGGCUGAAUGGAAAGCGCCAGGUGCGUCGUGGACCGGCCUGGCUGAAAUUCUGCCGUGGCCGGUGGGUGACGGAGGCGUGGGGUGCAUCGAUCUAGCCCAGGGCUCUGCGAACUGUUUCUGGAAAGGGCCAGAGAGUAAAUAUUUAGGCUCUGUGGCCGGCGGUCUCUGCUGCAUCCUCUCUGUUGCAAAAGUCACAGGAGACACGACGUGGACAAGUGGGCGUGGCCGUGCCACAAUGAAACUUUAUUUAUGGACCUGAAAUUUGACUUUGGUGCAACCUCCACAGGUCGUCUUCCCCUCCCCCCACCCCAGGCACUUACGAAUAUUAAAACCGGGGCACCCGCGUGGCUCGGUCGGUUGAGCAUCUGACUUUGGCUCAGCUCACGAUCUCACGGUUGGUGGGUCGGAGCCCCGUGUCGGGCUCUGUGCUGACAGCUCAGAGCCUGCUUUGGAUUCUGUGUCUCCCUCCCUCUCUCUGCCCCUCUCAAAAUAAAUAAAUAAACUUUAAAAAUAACUAAAUAAAUAAAAUGUUAAAACCCUUCUUGGCCAGGGGUCAGACACAAACAGGCCAGACCUGAGCCGUGGCGGCACAGCCUGUGGGCAGAGUGCAGAUUUCAGAGUUUAACGCUCUCGGUUAGGACGGGGUGACAGUCCCAGAGGCGGGGGACUUGCCCAGUCCACGACUGCAGUGGCAGAGACUGGUCCGAGGCCCAGCCCUGCACUCAGAUGCACUUACUGCUUCUGUUUUCUGGGGCUGUCGAUGGGGGUGGGGGGAGCUGGUAGUGGCUGUUGGACCUGUGUGACACCCUCCUCAACUCAGCAGCACCCUCUGUUCCUUCAGGAGCAGGAGUGGUCCGACUCUGGGUGGUUCUGGAGGCAGCCCGUCUCAGAACCAGCCCCCAAGGACCCCAGAGACCCACACGGCAACCCCAGGUUGGCCAAAGUAGCACCGUCUCCCGGCAGAUGCACUGGCCCAGGGGGCGGCUGACCAGCAGGAGCCUCGGGGCCAUCCCUGGACAUGGGGAGGAAGGGGCUGUAGUUCCUCUGGGGUCUUGAAGCUGGACCACCUUGCAGGCCUUGGGGGGCCGCGGCCAGGACCCCCUCCUCCAGGCAGCUGAAGGAGUCCCAUCUGCAGAGGAGAGAAAGAGCCCCCACCGGGACAGGAAUGUGGACCCUGCCCUAGAGUGCCUACAGCGGAGCCCAGAACACUCACUAGCCUUGCUCCUGCAUGUGGCCUGCCCCUCGCAGACGCCCUGCCACUCACACCCGAGGCCCUCCCCUCGGUGCCUCUGUGGCUUGAGGCCCUGAUCGGCCCUCAACCCCUCC